UGUAUUGUUUAGAAAAUGAAGGGGCGGUUCGGCUGUUACUGAGAGAGGACCCGUCUCGCAUAAGCUAGUUGGUGAGGGAACGGCUCCUCAAGGCCACGAUGCGUAGCUCGACCUGAGAGGGUGAUCGGCCACACUGGGACUGAGACACGGCCCCAGACUCCUACGGGAGGCAGCUGUAGGGAAUCCUCCGCAAUCGCGAAAGUCUGACGGAGCAACGCCGUCUGAGUGAUGAAGGCCUUCGGGUCGUAAAAUUCUGUUUUUUGGGAAGAACAAAUGUUAGUUGAAUUAGCAGGCACCCUUGACGGUACCUAACCAGAAAGCCACGUCUAACUACGUGCCCGCCGGCGGCGUAAUAAGUAGGUGGCAAGUGUGGUCAGGAAUUAUUAGGUGUAAAGCGCCGGCAGGUGGUUUAUUAAGUUUGAUGUGAAAGUCCAGUGGUCAACCGUGGAGGGUCAUUGGAAACUGGGAGACAUUAGUUCUUCAGAAGAAAGUGGAAUUCCAUGUGGAGCGGUUAACUGCGUACAGAUAGGGAGGAACACCAGGGGCGAAGGCCACUUUUUGGUUUGUAACUGACAAUGAGGCGGGAAAGCGUGGGGAGCAAACAGGAUUAGAUACCCUGGUAGUUCAAGCCGUAAACGGUGAAUGAUAAGUGUUAGAGGGUUUCCGCCCAUUAGUGCUGAAGUUAACGCCUUAAGCACUCCGCCUGGGGAGUACGGCCGCAAGGCUGAAAAUUAAAGGAAUUGACGGGGGCCCGCACUAGCGGUGGAGCCUGUGGUUUAAUUGGGAGCAACGCGAAGAACCUUACCAGGUCCUGACAUCCUUUGAAAACCCGAAAGAUAGGGCUUCUCCUUCGGGAGCAGAGUGACAGGUGGUG
rnacentral:rRNA from 1 species